rnacentral:rRNA from 1 species
ACGCUGGCGGCAGGCCUAACACAUGCAAGUCGAGCGGCAGCACGGGUACUUGUACCUGGUGGCGAGCGGCGGACGGGUGAGUAAUGCCUAGGAAUCUGCCUGGUAGUGGGGGAUAACGUUCGGAAACGGACGCUAAUACCGCAUACGUCCUACGGGAGAAAGUGGGGGAUCUUCGGACCUCACGCUAUCAGAUGAGCCUAGGUCGGAUUAGCUAGUUGGUGAGGUAAUGGCUCACCAAGGCGACGAUCCGUAACUGGUCUGAGAGGAUGAUCAGUCACACUGGAACUGAGACACGGUCCAGACUCCUACGGGAGGCAGCAGUGGGGAAUAUUGGACAAUGGGCGAAAGCCUGAUCCAGCCAUGCCGUGUGUGUGAAGAAGGUCUUCGGAUUGUAAAGCACUUUAAGUUGGGAGGAAGGGCAGUAAAUUAAUACUUUGCUGUUUUGACGUUACCGACAGAAUAAGCACCGGCUAACUCUGUGCCAGCAGCCGCGGUAAUACAGAGGGUGCAAGCGUUAAUCGGAAUUACUGGGCGUAAGGCGCGCGCAGGUGGUUUGUUAAGUUGAAUGUGAAAUCCCCGGGCUCAACCUGGGAACUGCAUCCAAAACUGGCAAGCUAGAGUAUGGUAGAGGGUGGUGGAAUUUCCUGUGUAGCGGUGAAAUGCGUAGAUAUAGGAAGGAACACCAGUGGCGAAGGCGACCACCUGGACUGAUACUGACACUGAGGUGCGAAAGCGUGGGGGGCAAAC